rnacentral:rRNA from 1 species
AUAAGCUAGCUAGCUAGCUCUGCAACUCUCACAUGGUCGCCCACUGAAGCUAAGCAGGGCUGCACCUGGUCAGUGCCUGGAUGGGAGACCACAUGGGAAAGCUAAGUUGCUGAUG